rnacentral:rRNA from 1 species
GACGAACGCUGGCGGCGUGCUUAACACAUGCAAGUCGAACGGAAAGGCCCUGCUUUUGUGGGGUGCUCGAGUGGCGAACGGGUGAGUAACACGUGAGUAACCUGCCCUUGACUUUGGGAUAACUUCAGGAAACUGGGGCUAAUACCGGAUAGGAGCUCCUGCUGCAUGGGGGGGGUUGGAACGUUCCGGCGGUUGUGGAUGGACUCGCGGCUUACCAGCUUGUUGGUGGGGGAGUGGCUUACCCAGGCUUUGACUGGUAGCCGGCCUGAGAGGGUGGCCGGCCACAUGGGGACUGCGAGACGCCGCAGACGCCUACGGGAGGCAGCAGUGGGGAAUAUUGCACAAUGGGCGGGCGCCUGAUGCAGCAACGCUGCGUGCGGGAUGACGGCCUUCGGGUUGUAAACCGCUUUCGCCUGUGACGAAGCGUGAGUGACGGUAAUGGGUAAAGAAGCACCGGCUAACUACGUG